AUUGAACGCUGGCGGAAUGCUUUACACAUGCAAGUCGAGCGGCAGCGCGGGGCAACCUGGCGGCGAGCGGCGAACGGGUGAGUAAUACAUCGGAACGUACCCAGUUGUGGGGGAUAGCCCGGCGAAAGCCGGAUUAAUACCGCAUACGACCUGAGGGUGAAAGUGGGGGAUCGCAAGACCUCACGCAGUUGGAGCGGCCGAUGGCGGAUUAGCUAGUUGGUGGGGUAAAGGCCUACCAAGGCGACGAUCCGUAGCGGGUCUGAGAGGACGACCCGCCACACUGGAACUGAGACACGGUCCAGACUCCUACGGGAGGCAGCAGUGGGGAAUUUUGGACAAUGGGGGCAACCCUGAUCCAGCCAUUCCGCGUGAGUGAAGAAGGCCUUCGGGUUGUAAAGCUCUUUCGGCAGGAACGAAACGGUGGGCUCUAACAUAGCCUGCUAAUGACGGUACCUGAAGAAGAAGCACCGGCUAACUACGUGCCAGCCGCCGCUGUAAAAC
rnacentral:rRNA from 1 species